rnacentral:lncRNA from 1 species
UUUGAGGAACAACCUCAACAAAGAUCUGAAGAAAGAAGAUACCACCAAACCAGGAAUAUGAACAAAUGUCUUACCUGUCGGGAAUCAUGCCACCCUCGGGAGAGCACUGAGAUAUUCUUGAGUAUCCUUUCAAUCUUGUGAACGUUCACUUUGUUUAAAACAAAAAUUUUGAAAAAUUUGAUUUGUUUAAAACAAUGACAUUUUAUCAAUUUAAAACAUGCAAAACAU